AAAUUGAAGAGUUUGAUCAUGGCUCAGAUUGAACGCUGGCGGCAGGCCUAACACAUGCAAGUCGAGCGGUAGCACAGAGAGCUUGCUCUCGGGUGACGAGCGGCGGACGGGUGAGUAAUGUCUGGGAAACUGCCUGAUGGAGGGGGAUAACUACUGGAAACGGUAGCUAAUACCGCAUAACGUCGCAAGACCAAAGUGGGGGACCUUCGGGCCUCAUGCCAUCAGAUGUGCCCAGAUGGGAUUAGCUAGUAGGUGGGGUAACGGCUCACCUAGGCGACGAUCCCUAGCUGGUCUGAGAGGAUGACCAGCCACACUGGAACUGAGACACGGUCCAGACUCCUACGGGAGGCAGCAGUGGGGAAUAUUGCACAAUGGGCGCAAGCCUGAUGCAGCCAUGCCGCGUGUGUGAAGAANNNAGGCCUUCGGGUUGUAAAGCACUUUCAGCGGGGAGGAAGGCGAUAAGGUUAAUAACCUUGUCGAUUGACGUUACCCGCAGAAGAAGCACCGGCUAACUCCGUGCCAGCAGCCGCGGUAAUACGGAGGGUGCAAGCGUUAAUCGGAAUUACUGGGCGUAAAGCGCACGCAGGCGGUCUGUCAAGUCGGAUGUGAAAUCCCCGGGCUCAACCUGGGAACUGCAUUCGAAACUGGCAGGCUAGAGUCUUGUAGAGGGGGGUAGAAUUCCAGGUGUAGCGGUGAAAUGCGUAGAGAUCUGGAGGAAUACCGGUGGCGAAGGCGGCCCCCUGGACAAAGACUGACGCUCAGGUGCGAAAGCGUGGGGAGCAAACAGGAUUAGAUACCCUGGUAGUCCACGCCGUAAACGAUGUCGAUUUGGAGGUUGUGCCCUUGAGGCGUGGCUUCCGGAGCUAACGCGUUAAAUCGACCGCCUGGGGAGUACGGCCGCAAGGUUAAAACUCAAAUGAAUUGACGGGGGCCCGCACAAGCGGUGGAGCAUGUGGUUUAAUUCGAUGCAACGCGAAGAACCUUACCUGGUCUUGACAUCCACAGAACUUAGCAGAGAUGCUUUGGUGCCUUCGGGAACUGUGAGACAGGUGCUGCAUGGCUGUCGUCAGCUCGUGUUGUGAAAUGUUGGGUUAAGUCCCGCAACGAGCGCAACCCUUAUCCUUUGUUGCCAGCGGUUAGGCCGGGAACUCAAAGGAGACUGCCAGUGAUAAACUGGAGGAAGGUGGGGAUGACGUCAAGUCAUCAUGGCCCUUACGACCAGGGCUACACACGUGCUACAAUGGCAUAUACAAAGAGAAGCGACCUCGCGAGAGCAAGCGGACCUCAUAAAGUAUGUCGUAGUCCGGAUUGGAGUCUGCAACUCGACUCCAUGAAGUCGGAAUCGCUAGUAAUCGUAGAUCAGAAUGCUACGGUGAAUACGUUCCCGGGCCUUGUACACACCGCCCGUCACACCAUGGGAGUGGGUUGCAAAAGAAGUAGGUAGCUUAACCUUCGGGAGGGCGCUUACCACUUUGUGAUUCAUGACUGGGGUGAAGUCGUAACAAGGUAACCGUAGGGGAACCUGCGGUUGGAUCACCUCCUUACCUUAAAGAA
rnacentral:rRNA from 1 species